UGUGUCCUGAAAGUUCUGUUUUGUGAAGCUGGGAAGCUGCUGACUUAUGGAACCGCAGCUCAACCUGGUCCAUAGGUCUGCCUAGGAUGGUUAUGUUUGUUUAACAACUGCUGAGGCACUGCAGAGGCAGAGGACCCAGUGCCUAAGAGCUGACAUCCAGAAACUUCCAUUACUACAACAUGCUUUUGUGUUUUAAUUGGUUCAGGAUUACCUAUUUGCAUGACAAGCAACAUAAUUCAGCCAGAAAAAUCUGUUGUGUGUAGGGUUUCUUUAGUGACUUAGGAAGCUAAGGAAGCUCACCCUCUAACCUGCCUUCUCCCACGACGGUUGCCCACCCAGCAAAGACCAAAGCUUCAUCCUCACGGGUGGGCUGCAGAGGAACUCAGACACAGACCCUCCUUCAGAGGACACUGCUGU